GACGAACGCUGGCGGCGUGCUUAACACAUGCAAGUCGAACGGAAAGGCCUGCUUUCCCUUGUGGAUUGCGGGUACUCGAGUGGCGAACGGGUGAGUAACACGUGAGUGAUCUGCCCCCAACUUGGGUAUAAGCCUGGGAAACUGGGUCUAAUUCCCGAUAGGACUGCAGGGUGGUGCCUGUGGUGGAAAACGAUUUUCUAGUGGUUGGGGAUGAGCUCGCGGCCUAUCAGCUUGUUGGUGGGGUAAUGGCCUACCAAGGCGGCGACGGGUAGCCGGCCGGGGAGGGGGGACGGCGAGAGUGGGACUGAGAGACGGCCCAGACUGCUACGGGAGGCAGGAGUGGGGAAGAUUAGACAAUGGGCGGAAGGCUGAUGCAGCGACGCGGCGUGGGGGAUGACGGCCUUCGGGUUGUAAACUCCUUUCGACCGCGAGGAAGCCACCUGGUUGGAAGGGUGGUGACGGUAGUGGUAGAAGAAGCACCGGCUAACUACGUG
rnacentral:rRNA from 1 species